UGAGCGUGAAAAAAAUUCCACGCGGCAUCGGAGAGGCAAGCAAUCAAUUAACCAAUCUGUUAAUUACCGCCACGAGCCGACAGCUGUGAGCAUAGUUCAAAGGAGACACGCGUUCAACGAGACCUUUAUGAUCAGAGAAAAGUGCCAUCUUGUAGUUUCUCUUGGCACAUUCUGUUACUUCCUUUUAUCGGCCUUUUCCAUGCCUCCCUUGGAACACAGUGUGGUGGAUCUCGUUAAACUUAAUCUUCUUCGAGCUGUUUGUUUCAAUUACCCUACUCGGUUAUAUUCAACCAAUCUUCUCGAACGUUAUAACUCAAAUAUUUAUAAACAAAAAUUUAACGAAUUUACUAUGCGUUUUUCGUAAAAUUAUCGUAAUAAAAAUCAGAAUCAGUAAAUAAUGUAAAUAUAUAAGAUGUAAUAUAUUUAUAUUUAUAUUUACAUUGAUUAAUAUGCACAUGAUUUUUAUUGAUAUUUAAGUAAUUAUAAAAAAUAUUUGCACAUUACUCUAUUUACCAAUGACAUUCAUGUAAGUAUAAAAAUUUGAUAUUAUAAAAAUAAAAACGUAGAAAUUUAAAAGAUGCGCAAUAUCUUUUUAUAGCUUCCGUACAUAUUUUUUACUGUGAACCAGAAAUAACCAAGCAUAGCUACAGAUUCAAUCACAAAUGAAACUGAUUUAUCCAUUGAGAAAUGUAAUUUCGAACGGAGAAGAUUCAGAAUUGUGAUUAAAAAAAAAAGAAAAAAUACAGGAAGAAACAAAUAACAGUACCAAAACAAAGAUAAAGUGCAUUACACUUAUUCCACGGAUCGAUGAAUCAUUUCAUCCAAUUAACGGUAAUCGCGAUUUAUCAUGGGAGGAAAAACCACGACCCACGCAAUGAUUGAUCGAAUAAUCUCGAGGAAUGAACAAAAAAAAAAAGCUACUUCUGCUUCUGAGAUUUUUUUUAAAUUCCUCGUAGCGGUUCUACGUCGUUGUUCCCUCAUUUUUUUUCUUUCCCCUCGCAUUACGCGAUCCGCUUGGCGAGCAUGGCGUGGAUAGAGCUACGAUCACGAGCUCGUAGGGUCAUCCACGUUGCAGGAAACAGGAAAUCCUGAGAGAAGUGAAACCAAGCAGAAACGUCGGGAACGCACAGAGCCGCCACUGUCUAGGAUUCGUAGUUGUAAGACAAGAUUGAGGAGGUCUGCUCGUUUCGCUCGGGAAUCUCGUUCCCUCGCUUUGACAGUGAGAGAUGCAAAUUUGUGAAGCAACCGUCAACACGUGACGAAUAAUCAGAGCAUACAGUGAACGUGGGUUGAGUGAUUUGAGAAGGGGUUUGGCACACUCGGAGAAAGGAAGUAUUUCAUUUUAAUGUGAACUCGACGGCCGUCCUCGAGCCGCUGGCUGCAGGCCUGCUGUUUGCCCUCCUUCUCCCCGGAGGACGCGUCGACGAAACGGAGACAGAGGGGGCUGGAAUCGCGUGGCACGGCACGCACGUGCGUGCACACGCGUGGCCGUGCCGCUUUUCGCACGGACGAGCCGAUCUCGUGUGGGUGCAACCGAGGGAACGGACCUGCAUCCAGCGAAUAGAUACAUAUAGUCUAACGAAGUCUAACGGAUGUCCAGGUCGUGCUCUGACGGGCAAAUUUGUCGGGGCACGAAGGGAUUCCACCAUCCCUGGGUGUUAGUCAACGAUGCGACAAGGGAAAAAGUUGAAGGAUUUUGGAAGGAGAAUAAUACCAUGGAUGACCAAAUGGUUUUUGUAGAUGGGUUCUUAAGAUAAGCGGUAAGUAUUUAGGGUUAUAGUUUCGAGUUUGGAGAAUAAUAGGCGAAGACAAUAGGCGAGCAAGUGGAUUGUCGAGGACAAUAAAGGAAUUAAUAAAUGGUGUAGCAGGUACAAAAAAUAUAUUGCCAUUUCUAAAUAUACUUAAAAAUACUUAAAACGUAUUAGGUAUUAAUCCGUAUUAGGCAUAUAAAUUGAAAGGUUGAAA